rnacentral:tRNA from 1 species
GAUUGGGGGCAAUAAAUUACCCCCAAUCAAGAAAUAUUCAAGAUUUAUAUAGUUUAAUAAAAAACAUUACAUUUUCAUUGUAAAAUUAAAUUUUCUUUUUAUAA